AAAAACCGCAAUCCGUACGAUCACCGAAGUUAAGCAACGUCGAGCCUGGUCAGUACCUAAGUGGAUGACCGCUUGUGAAUACCAGGAGCUGUAAG